GACGAACGCUGGCGGCGUGCCUAAUACAUGCAAGUCGAGCGCAGGAAACCGUCUGAACCCUUCGGGGGGACGACGGCGGAAUGAGCGGCGGACGGGUGAGUAACACGUAAAGAACCUGCCCACGGGUCUGGGAUAACCACGAGAAAUCGGGGCUAAUACCGGACGGGUCAUCGGACCGCAUGGUCCGAGGAUGAAAGGCGCUCCGGCGUCGCCCGUGGAUGGCUUUGCGGUGCAUUAGCUAGUUGGUGGGGUAACGGCCCACCAAGGCGACGAUGCAUAGCCGACCUGAGAGGGUGAUCGGCCACACUGGGACUGAGACACGGCCCAGACUCCUACGGGAGGCAGCAGUAGGGAAUCUUCCACAAUGGACGAAAGUCUGAUGGAGCAACGCCGCGUGAACGAUGAAGGCCCUCGGGUCGUAAAGUUCUGUUGUAAGGGAAGAACAAGUGCCGCAGGCAAUGGCGGCACCUUGACGGUACCUUGCGAGAAAGCCACGGCUAACUACGUGCCAGCAGCCGCAGUAA
rnacentral:rRNA from 1 species